rnacentral:rRNA from 1 species
GAUGAACGCUGGCGGCGUGCCUAAUACAUGCAAGUCGAGCGAACAGAUGAGGAGCUUGCUCCUCUGACGUUAGCGGCGGACGGGUGAGUAACACGUGGAUAACCUACCUAUAAGACUGGGAUAACUUCGGGAAACCGGAGCUAAUACCGGAUAAUAUAUUGAACCGCAUGGUUCAAUAGUGAAAGACGGUUUUGCUGUCACUUAUAGAUGGAUCCGCGCCGCAUUAGCUAGUUGGUAAGGUAACGGCUUACCAAGGCAACGAUGCGUAGCCGACCUGAGAGGGGGAUCGGCCACACUGGAACUGAGACACGGUCCAGACUCCUACGGGAGGCAGCAGUAGGGAAUCUUCCGCAAUGGGCGAAAGCCUGACGGAGCAACGCCGCGUGAGUGAUGAAGGGCUUCGGAUCGUAAAACUCUGUUAUUAGGGAAGAACAAAUGUGUAAGUAACGAUGCACGUCUUGACGGUACCGAAUCAGAAAGCCACGGCGAACUACGG